rnacentral:lncRNA from 1 species
UUGAUGAUUUUGAAUGUGUGCAUGGCUGAGAAGAUCAUACCAAUUAAUUUUCAUGCAGAAGUCAAGCAUGCCUUGCAGAGGGCUCAUCCAUAGCCAAUCAGCCGUUGACUGUUAAUGGCCACCUGGAGUGCUGUGCUGAGGAUCGGAUCUUCUCAUGGCUGGCCCUGUCUCAUUGGUCAAGUUUCUCCCAAAUGGUGCCAUUCACCUCCUCACCACCACCCCCUCUCAACUAGAACAGCAGCCAUAACCCAGGGUCAUUACAUCUGGUUUUGACUCAGGGACAAGAUAGACCAGGCACUGGCCUACAAAUGUGGACACUAACAGCUCCUGAUAGAACCAGGGUGGAAACUGAGGUAUGUGUGACUCACUCAUACUUUAUCCCCAGCACACUACUCCAAACACAGAUAUCCCAUUACAUACAGUCCCCUGGAGAUUUGUAUUUUUGACUUUAUAGUUGCUCAGCAAACACUUAUUUAAUGGGGGAAAAGUGCUAUGUUAGGUGUGCAGGGAAUGGUUUCCUUCUUAUUUGCUUAUGCUCUAGGAAGAACAACACACAGAGGCCUGUGACAGGUGAACAAACUGUGAGAUAGGAAAAAAAAAUCAAAAUAUUUUCAGGAGAAAUUUGUGAGGCUCAACAUGUUCAGUGAGGAUUUAGAAUCAUGAAAACUUUCACUGUGGUUAAAG